AACAGGAAUGCUGGGGCACACGCAGUGUCUUGUUUUCUCCACCAGGUGACAGCCUAGGACCUCUUCAGCAGGGAGCCAGCGUGAAAGCCAGAGGUCACACGGGCACUGAGAGCUUUCAUUUGCCAUUGUGGGGGGACAUACCACUAGGAAAGCCCCCAUUUCUUGUCGGUAGGUAGCACAAGCCCUUUGAAAAGGAGACAGAGGGGAUUAGAAUAGGAGUGCCUUCUUGACUGAUAUUCUUUCAUUGAGCUGAUUUAGGCUGUGGGAGGCUUCUGAGCUAAUCCACAAAUGCAUAUCUCACUCUGUACUUGGAAAAAUGGGAGUUCCCGUCAUGGCUCAGCGGUUAAUGAACCCGACUAGUGUCCUUGAGGAUGUGGGUUUGAUCCCCGGCCUCGCCCAGUGGGUUAAGGAUCUGGCGUUGCUGUGAGCUGUGGUGUAGGUCACAGACAUGGCUCAGAUCCCAUUGCUGUGGCUGUGGUGUAGACCAGCAGCUGUAGCUCCAGGUCGACCCCUAGCCUGGGAACUUCCAUAUGCCUCAGGUGUGGCCCUAAAAAAGCCAAAAAGAAAUGGUUGCGCUCGUGACAUUUCCAGAGUCAGGGCAGUGACGUCCCCAUGGUUAAAGUCUGCCCUGCAGAGAACUUGGGGACAGUGCCACCUCGCUGUGACUGCAGCACCCACAUCCGCAUAGACACGUGUUGGGUUUUUAACACGCUACGCCACAGUGGGCACUCCGGAAAUUUAUUUCAAUUUCUAAUACGGUAAAUAUGGAUAGACGCUACCCACGCUAACGAAACCUCUUUGGGGUGCUCAGUAAUUUUUAAAAGUGUGAAGGGGUCCUGAGACUGAAAGCUUGAGAGGCGUGUGUUCGGGCCAGGCUUCCUGAGCCUGGCGGUCACGAUGAGCGGGAGCAGGAGCGCAGGGCUGCCUGGUUCUUUUCUCCUGCCCCUGCCGAGCCCACUUCAGACUUUCUUGGCCAUGUUCUUACGACUCUAAGGUGUCCGUUCUAGGCAACUCAUGGUUUAAAAAAAAAAAAAAAGUGUUUUAUUUGGGUACAUUCAUAAAAACCCACUGAUGAGAGAGGAAGAGAAACAUCCCCGGCCAGUUUUUGUAAAUCAAGUUGUAUUGGAACCCACCAUGCCUGGCGGUAGGCCUGUCGCCUGUGCAGAGCGUCCCUGGCGCACGAGGCCGAUGGCGUGAGGUGAGGGGGCCUGUGUCAGGCCCUCAGAGGAUUCUGUCCUGGGCGCAGGCCACCUCCAACGAGUGUGGGGCGGCCCCUGAGUCGAUGUUCUUGCCGAGGCAUCCGCGAGGGCCUCACCCCGGGGGGUGGCGCCAGCCUACGGGGCAGGGCAGGGGUCUGUGGCCUUCGGCAGAUCUUCAGGCAAGUCCGUGACCCUCGGAAGCAUGGAAACCAUAGCGCCGUGGACUGUCGUGAAGAGAGAAUGAGAGAAAAAAGUGUAUUUUGUUAGACUGGCUUAAUACAGUGAUUUUUAAUUCUUUCAAUCACCGAAAGCUCUUUUCAUUACUUAUUCUCGGCAGGUCACCCCAGCUUCCUUCAGUGUCAUCAGCCUAAUCACAGCUUCUGAUCAACAGUGUGAAAUAAUCAACAAAGGUUGCGGGUUUGAUCCCUGGCCUUGCUCAGUGGGUUAAGGAUCCGGCGUUGCCAUGAGCUGUGGUGUAGGUCGCAGACACGGCUCGGAUCCCGCGUUGCUGUGGCUCUGGCGUAGGCCCGUGGCGACGGCUGAGAAUCUCCAUAUGCUGCAGGAGCAGCCCUAGAAAAGGCAAAAAGACAAAAAACAAGCAAAAAAGAGACAGACAGGAGGGGCUGGCAGGAGUGGAGUCAGAGACGAGCGUGGCCCCGGCCCCUCAUCUAGCAGGGCCUUGGGUGUAGUUCUGGAGCAAAAGGGAGUCCGGAGGCAGAGACCCUGGCUUGACCUGACAGUGAAAAUCCCUUGCAGUUAUUUUCCUCACGUGGGAUGGUCAGCAGCCACUCCCUUGGGCCAUUUUUCUUUCUUUCUUUGCUACUUUUUAUUAGUCAUCUCAGGUAAAGUGUUGCCCGCAGUGAGGUGCACGGCCCUUAGCUGUUGGGUUCUGUGCAGGACACGGGCAGCUUCCCCCACUCGGGGCCAAGCAGAGGCCCGGAAGCCAGGCCGCCCGCGUGGGUCCCGUGCAGUGUGAGCUUGGGGCCCAGAGCUGAGGCAGGAGGUGGGAAGGGGUGACUGGAGGGUGAGUCAGAGCGAUUCUCAUGCCACCCAGGCUUCGCCAUCACACUGGGUUCUUUCACUUUGGUGUUGGACUCAGAAUUCCCUCUGAAGCGUGGCGGGGAGGAUGCAGGAGAGAAAGAUGAUGGGCGGUGCGGGUGUUUUUAAGCCUCGAGGCUUUCCUUGUGCCUGGGGAAGGAUUGUUUGGGGACGUUUUACCCUUUAAGUGGUUGUCCUGGGGCUUUGCUUUCGUGCCUCCCAUAGAUCACCUGGCAUUAAGUCCUCAGGCUGGCCGGCGGCUCCCGGGCAUUGCCUGGCAUUCUGGGCUGCGAGCCCAUCCCUGAGCUGUCAGUGGGUUGCAGGGCUCCAGAUUGCCACCAAGGGUGGGCCUUAGAAGCUUGGCGCUUGGAGCGAGGGACUUGGGGUGGAGCCCUGGCUUCCCCCCCUGCAAGCUGGGUGCCCUUGGUCACCUCCUAAACGUCUUCGGGCCCAAGUCCUCCGGUCGUCAGGCGGUGGUCACAGCGCCCCUGCCCUCAGAGGCUCCUGGGAGGCGUUCACGAGACGGUGCGGGAGGGGGGCCUGGCGCACCGUUGCUGCUCAGGAGAUGGGACGCCCAGCUCUGCGGUUUUUAUCGUUGUCACAGUUCCAGGACCAUCCAGGGAAGACUGGGGCCCGGGGAAGGGGCUCUUUGACGGCCCGCUUGGUUACUCUCUGAUGCAAGCGGGAAGGGGAAGAUGUGCGGAAGGCGUGACGCUGCCUCCAGGCGGGCGCCUGUGCUCCUCGGCUCCUGCGGCGGAGCUGACGUCAGAAGCAGGGCCUGGGCUGGCGCUUCCUGCCUCGGGGGGCACUUGCUCGGUUCUUGGGGGAAGAAGCACUUGCCAAAGCCCGGAGUCCUGGCCACGGGCCUGAGAGUGAGGGGAGGAAGGGGACGCCACACCGAGGCAGCCUGUAGCCGCGCCCGAAGCAGCUGGGCCUGCCCCCAACCCCUGCCCUCCCGUCCCGGGGAGGCUGCUCCGAGCCUCACAGCCGGGCUCGGUUCCAGGGUCAGGCCGCCGGGGCGUCCGUCCUUCAGGAACGCUCUUGGGGUGAUUCCGGUGCUCAGCCAGGUUAGGAAGCAUUUGCCGUGAAGAAAUUCUCCUCUGAAGGAGACCAGGGCCCCCCCAGAGAGGCAGCGGCAGGCAGGCCAGGCGCAGGCACCCGGAGUUGCAGUGGUGCAGGGACCGGAGUUCAGGUCUCCUGGCUCCCGUCCGAAGUACGUCUGCUCUCCCCAUGCUCAUUUUUUUACCAUAUUUGCUGUUCCCCGUGGCGGGGUGAGAAACAGCCAGCCCAGCCUGGGUGAGCCUUCACUCCCGUGGGAGCCCAGCCCAGCCGAGGUCCAGCGAGCACAGGCUGUCAGCGUGCGUAACUCUGGGGAAGGCUUCUUUGGAAGAAAAGCAAAAGGGAGGCUUGAGAUCCCGGGCUUCGCCCUGCUGCUCACUGCCCGUUGCCUCGUGCUGGCGAGGUUGCAGCCUGGGGGUGGGUCCUCCUCUGCUCUCAGGCCACCCAGCGUGUGCGCGUGUGGCCGCCCUGCUUCCAGGAGAUCCCGGGGCCACCACUGCGUCCUGUUUUACUUACUGGAGCCUGGGUUCCUGCCAAACGUGGCAGCCCCAGCACCUCUUCUGGCAUUGGACUGAGAAGGCAGACAGGCGGCCCUUGAGCAGGGCAGGGUUAGGGGCCUGGCCCUCUGCACAGUCGAACAUCCAAGUGUAACUUAGAGUCGACCCUCCAUCAUCACGGUUCCUCUGUAUCUGUGGUUCCACAGCUGUGCGUUCAGCAAACCGCGGCCCCCACAGUACCGUAAUGUUGACCCCUGAGAAAAAAGUGCACGUUUGAGUGGCCCAGAGCAGUUCAAACCCAUGUUGUUCAGGGAUCGGCUGGAAUCCUAAUGGAAUCCUAAUACUGUCACAUCAGACAUUGAUCCAGUGCUUGCUGUGUGCUGUUGGUGUUCCAGGUAGUUUCAUCAAUCCCCCCAACAACCCUAGUGGUAGGUGGUGUUAUUCUUGUUUAUGGAUGAAGGAGCUGAGGCUCAGAGAGGUUAAGUGAGUUAUCUGAGGUUACACAGCCAGUAAGCAGCACAGUUGGAAUUUUAACCCAAGCUGUUCAGAUAUGUAGGGCCUGUGCUGUUACCCACUCCUGUUUCUUAUGACAGUAAGCGAGCUUGCUUCCUGCCUUUGCUGCCUUGGCUGUAACUUGAACACCAUGUGGGACCCAGGAGCCUGAUCCCAGGAGCUGAGCUUUUGCAAUAAAUGUCUUACUUUUGCCUGGAAUUGCUGUCUGUCCUGACUAGGGGCUUCAGAGCAGAGUCAGUACUGGUUGUUCCCAAGAUGCGUUUCCCCAUCCUGGCUCGUGCCCUGGGAUGGCAUGGCAUCACUGCCUUGCUGGCGUGUCCUCACGGCGCCUGGAUGUGGCGGACAGGCUCGUUUUUAGAGCGCUUCCUGGCCUGCCUCACUCCGAGUGUCUGACCCAGAUUCCAGGGGCUGUGAGGGGCAGGACCUUAACCCCUCCACUCUCUCUCAGCCAGCUCUCCCUCUGCCCCCUGAUUCCCUUCCCUGUGGCUGGGAGGGGACCCAUCAGGCUUCACCUGAAGAGUUCUCUCCGAUGUCCUCAACGCCAUCUCCCCUGCCAGCCACCAGGGCGGGGCCCGCCUUGCUCCCUGCCCGCUCUGUAUGGACAGAUGCCUCGCCGCUUCUCAGAGGAACCUCCACAAAUUCAAGGGUCAUGACCUCAGUUGGGCCCUUAUUCUUGGUUCUCCCACCCUUUCUCCAGAAGACGUGCUGAAGUGUAGAUUUGAUCAAGGUCCUGCCCGGCCUCGGCCUGAGGAGGAGGCUGCUGGUGGUCGUCUCCGUCUGACCGGGUUUCUCGCCCCACCCUCGGUCUGGCCGAGGCCCAGGUGUGACGCCGGCCUCUCCGAACCUUGGUCCCUGCCCUUCCCAUGCUCUGCUGGGCCUCUGUGUGGAUGCCGCCUCCUUGGGGACCCUGUCCUCCCCCACCCCUUGCCCGGCCACGUCUUUCUGUUGGUCUCAUGGCUCCUGUUGAAGCGAAGGCAGAGUUGGUUUGCCAGGGGAUAUUUCAGCAAGCAAAAUUCAGAAGAGACUUUUAACGUGUUUUUAUUGUUUAAAUGAUCUGAUUGUUGGUGCUGUUCUUUCUCAAUUAUUGACAAAGGAGAGGAUGGAGCAUCCAAAUUCAAGAGUGGUUUGCUCGUUUGGAAGGGCCCCGGCUCUCGGAGGCCACCUGGGCUUGUGGGGCAGAGUGGAGCAGGACCUGGCCAUCUCAUUGACCGCUGCCAGUGGGAGCAGGGACGUGCACACGAAAAGGAACACGAAAGGAACACUGGUUUAAACAAAUGUGCGAGUCAUCCAACAUGUCUCAGUUUUGAGAUCUUGUCCUCCUGUCCCCCAGACCACCCGGCACUGUGCGCCAAGCACUGUGGGUGAAUAGCCAGUGACCCAGGGCCCCUCAUGCCCAGGGGGACGGCAGUUGCCCCAGGGCAGAGGCCAUGGUCUCUGCUGCAUCCUGGAGCCUGGCCUGGGGUCAGAGGAGAUGAAAACGGACUGAGAACUAGAGUUUAUUGAAAAAUAAAAAAAUAAUUUUUGAAAAAACUAGCAAGACCACCCACCAGAGGGGUUGCUAGAUAAGACAGCCUCGGCUGAUCUGCCUCCAUGGUUUAGCUUCUUUGCAGGUGGCGUGAGUGCAUGGGGUCAUCGCAGCUCCAGCCGUGGGUGUUAGAGCCUCUCAAUUUUGGAAAUUAGAUUUUCUCAGAUUGUCUGAACCUUCCCUCAUUGCCCCACAUGGAACCUUGGAGGAGGUUCCUGCAGAUACCGUUAGUUGAUAAUCAUCUUGAAGAUUAAUUUAGGAUUCCAGGAGUUUCUUUUUGGAAUCCUAGGCUCGACUGCCCCCCACUAAUCAUGAGCCAGAGGAAGGAGACAGAGGAAAGUCGAUCCUUCACCACCCACAGUCCGUUCUUAAAGGGAACCAGUAAUUAAGUGCUAUUAAGCAAAAUUAAUUUGCCUCCUGCGGGAAGGUUUAUGAUGAAUGAAAGGAUUGCUGAUGGGGAGGGAGCCAGGCUGCCCUCUGUGGUCAUCAAUAUUUCAUGGCCUUUGGCAGUGGCAGGAAGUUAGCUAUCCCGGCUCCCUGACCUUGAGCAAUCUUGAAGGUGAGACAAAGCCAGGGAUGUCUGUUUUAAGGGCUUUGUUGCAAGACACCUAGUGAAAAUCUGAGUGGAAUUUGCAGGACACAUUGGUGGGUUAAUUGACUACACCCUCAGUGAGCUGAGGCUCCCGCAGCUGGGGCUCAGGACCCACCCGAAACUGUCUCAGUGCGGGAGCGGCUCUGUCAGCCACAGGGGCUGAGCUGCAGUCUUUAAUGACAGCUUUGGGGUGGAGGAGGCCCGAUUUGUAGUGUCUGUGCGUUUCUGUGGUGUCACUGUACCCCCAGUAUGGCUGGUUAAUGCUUCUGACCCCACUGGUUGGCUGAUACAGUGCAGCCCCAGGACCCCCCAGCCGGCUGCUCCCUCAGCUCCUGGUGAUCAGGGAGACCCCGCAGAGCUGCAUUUCCAGAAACACGGGUGUGCCCUCAGGCAGAACUCAUCCGUGCUGGACCCGACCCGGCCGGCCGGCCUCUUAGUCAAGAGGGUGCCUGAAAGGGAUGGGCUUUAAAAAUGAGAAGAGACGUUAACGAGCGUCUCCUUCUGUCCUUUUCUUCUCCCUAGCUGCUAUCAACUUAGCAAAGCUGAAGCUUUUCAGACAUUACUACGUCUUGGUGAGUACACGGUUCCUGAGUCUGUAAAUACGGUUGGCUGAAGUAAUAGAGCAGGUGAACUUCCAAAGAAUUGGUCAGAGCCCAGGAAGGGUGCUCCCUGGAGCUUCGCGGGCUUCGUUUGGUAAAACCAAGCAGUGGCUCUGGUCUUGCGAAAUUAAACAUGUGAGGGGUUCCCAUCGUGGCUCGGUGGUUAAUGAAUCCAACUAGUACCCAUGAGGAUGUGGGUUUGAU
rnacentral:lncRNA from 1 species